UUACGGUUAUAUCACUUUGAAACACCGGUUCUCGUACGAUCACCGAAGUUAAGCAACGUUGAGUCUGGCCAGUUCUUAGAUGGAGUGACUGCUUGAAAAUAUCAGAUGUUGUAAG